UUACAUAUGUGAUCCUUCCUAUUUAGAAAAUUAAUGGUGUUUUCUGGCUCCAAAUCACAGCUUGUGGUGCUCUGCAGGCGAUGAAAAACUUGGCCAGCUUCAGCAGCAAGGCAGCCAUUAGAAAAUUAACCCUUGGUGACCAAGGAGCAAAGAAAAAUACAGCGGCUGGAAAUGAACAUAUUUUCCAUGAAGAAAGAGGAAUUAUGGAGAGUGGUGGAGACCUGGAGGGAAACUAGGAGAUGCAAAGGGGGCUGUGGCCAGAGCAGGGGAUGCUAGAGCGACAGAAUGCUGAAGAUAGUUGUCCC
rnacentral:lncRNA from 1 species